rnacentral:lncRNA from 1 species
UAAAACAGAGAUUUAUCCUUGAAGAUUUGAAGCUCAGUAUUUUUCGGAAAGGCAGAGGUUUUACUUUACUUGUUAAAACUAUAAAUUUCUAACAGCUUAAAAGUUUUCGUGUCUAACCCUUUUACCUUUCUUGAAAAAUGCAAAUUAAGGCUGUAAGUUGUUACUAUUCCCUAAGCUGCACCCCUUACAUUGCCCUUGGACGCUGCGUCCUUGGUCUUUACUCCACUGGGCUGGGUCACUUUAGUGACAUCUAGUCGCCAGCUCAAUCGACAGGGCAGGGAGCCAUGUGGUCCAAA